rnacentral:miRNA from 1 species
ACAGAGGAGCUUUUGACAUGAAC